rfam:TPA: Bos taurus chromosome 16, whole genome shotgun sequence.
CCUGGUGGCUCAGAUGGUAAAGCGUCUGCCUGCAAUGCAGGAGACCCGGGUUCGAUUCCUGGGUCAGGA